GAUGAACGCUGGCGGCGUGCCUAAUACAUGCAAGUCGAGCGAACGGACGAGAAGCUUGCUUCUCUGAUGUUAGCGGCGGACGGGUGAGUAACACGUGGAUAACCUACCUAUAAGACUGGGAUAACUUCGGGAAACUGGAGCUAAUACCGGAUAAUAUUUUGAACCGCAUGGUUCAAAAGUGAAAGACGGUCUUGCUGUCACUUAUAGAUGGAUCCGCGCUGCAUUAGCUAGUUGGUAAGGUAACGGCUUACCAAGGCAACUAUGCAUAGCCGACGUGCGAGGGGGAUCGCCGGCACUGGAGCUGAGACACGGUCCAGACUCCUGCGGGAGGCCGCAGUAGGGAAUCUGACGCAAUGGGCGAAAGUCUGGCGGAGCAGCGGCGCGUGAGUGAUGAAGGUCUUCGGAGCGUGAAACUCUGUUAUGAGUGAAGAACAGAUGUGUAAGUAGCUGUGCACAGCUUGACGGUACCUAGUCAGAAAGCCACGGCUAACUACGUG
rnacentral:rRNA from 1 species